rnacentral:rRNA from 1 species
CGCAGCCGCGGUAAUUCCAGCUCCAAUAGCGUAUAUUAAAGUUGUUGCAGUUAAAAAGCUCGUAGUUGAAUUUCGGGAUCAAAUUGUCGGUCGUGCCUCGGUACGUACUGGUAUUAUUGGUUCCUACCUUCUGAAGAACCGCGAUGUCAUUAAUUUGGUGUCGUGGGGAAUCAGGACUGUUACUUUGAAAAAAUUAGAGUGUUUAAAGCAGGCUUACGCUUGAAUACAUUAGCAUGGAAUAAUGAAAUAGGACGUUUGAUUCUAUUUUGUUGGUUUCUAGGAUUGACGUAAUGAUUAAUAGGGAUAGUUGGGGGCAUUAGUAUUCAAUUGUCAGAGGUGAAAUUCUUGGAUUUAUUGAAGACUAACUACUGCGAAAGCAUUUGCCAAGGAUGUUUUCAUUAAUCAAGAACGAAAGUUAGGGGAUCGAAGACGAUCAGAUACCGUCGUAGU